CAAUUUCUACACUUUUCUUGGUAGGUUAUAUAUAAUGUGUUAGGUAGUUCUAUGGUUUUAGAAAGUAGUUCAAAUAAAAUUGUAAACAAUAACACUUUUGAAACGUUUGAAAAUGAGUAAAAGGGUAGUGAAAAGGGUAACAAUGAGAUCUAAACACCCAAAUCCACUUUUUGAACGAUGGUUAACCGAGUGGAGAGACAAAGCAAAGGAAAAUGAUUCAAAAAUGCAACACUGCUUUUCCAUUGCUUUGAAAUCAUUAAAAAAUUAUCCUUUGCCGUUAGAAACCGGAAAAGACUGCAAAAUAUUGAAGGGUUUUGGUGAAAAAUUGUGCAAAAUGUUGGAUAACAAAUUGAUGCAAUUCAAAGCAACUAACGAAGAAAUUAACGUUAAUAAAAUUGAGCCUGCUGUUCCUAAGAAAUCCAAAGUGACUAGUCCUAAAAGAAGUAAACCAAAAGAGUAUAUUCCACUACCUGGUUCAGGAGCUUUUGCUAUCUUGUUGACAUUGUAUGAGAAAAGUCUUGAAUCUAACUAUCAGGGAUACUUGACAAAGGCUGAUGUUAUAAAAUAUGGUCAACAUUUGUGCAAUGUUUCAUUUACAAAAGCUGGACCUGAUACAAGAUACACAGGUUGGUCCUCAAUGAAGACCUUGUUGGAGAAAAAAUUAGUUGUGAAGCAAGGAAAUCCAGCCAAGUUUAGUUUGACUGAAGAAGGGUCAGCUUUAGCCGAUAAAUUAUUUGUUCAAAAGAAAAUUGGAGAGUUCCAAAAUCAGGACAAUACUUUGUCUAUACCUUCUAGCUCAGGCUUAAUUUACAAUAAGGAAACACUUGACCAAGAAAAUUUUUCAACACCCUGCCAAAGUAGUACAAGUAAUGAGACUGUUAUAUUAGCUCCAAAUUCUUUUGAAAUUAUUCUUUUGGUUGAUACUCAGGAACUUAACGGGAGUAAUGGAGAUCUGGAAUGUAAUCCGAUUAUUAUUGAAUUAAAAAAAUUGAAUAUUAGAUUUGAGGUCAAAAAUUUAAAAGUGGGAGAUUACGCAUGGAUUUGUCGCGAUUCGAUAUCCAACCAUGAAUUGAUUCUACCGUACAUUGUCGAAAGGAAAAGAAUGGAUGAUUUAAGUCACAGUAUCAAAGAUGUUAGAUUUCAUGAACAAAAAUUCAGGUUGAAACAAUGUGGUAUUCCCAACUUAAUUUAUUUGAUUGAAAGUUAUGGAAAAAACGAACAUGUUGGCCUUCCAUUAACCACUUUAUAUCAAGCAGCUACCAAUACUUUAGUUCAAGAUAACUUUACUGUGAGAUUUACAAAUGACACAAAAGCAUCAUGUGGAUAUUUAUCUUGUUUAACAAAGUUAUUUGAAAAGUUAUUUAAGCCAAAAACUUUGGUUGGUUGCCAAAAGGAUGAUAUACAAGAAUUCCAAUUUGACGAUGACCUAAUACAAUUGAUGCAUUUUCAACAUUUCAACAUAAGUUCUUCUAAAACAAGGCAUUUCAAAGUAAAAGAAAUGUUUAUAAAGCAGCUUAUAAAAAUCAAGGGAAUGUCAGUGGAGAAAGCACUUGCAAUUGUUGACAAAUAUCCAACACCAAGAAGACUAAAAUCUGCUUACAGCGACAUUAACGCAGUCGAGGGAGAGAAGCUUCUUUCAACGUUACAGUUUGGAACAUUAAAGAAGAAAAUUGGCCCUGUGUUGAUGACAUGUCUAUAAGAGAGAGAAACGGAAUAAAAAAAUAAGUGCUUUAUUUAAAUGAGGAUGAUGACAAGACAAACAUAAAAAUUACAGGCAGAUAGGACAUUACUACUUACUUGGCUACGUUUCGACAACGGCCGUAAUCAUCUUCAGGCAGUUGGACAUGUGUGGAUUUAAUGUCAUCUUAUGAUAAAACGUGGGGGCGAAUUUGGUUAUGCCACACCAGUGAGAGAAUAACAUCAAACUCACAUUUUUACAAU